GGUACCACUGUGUAUAUAUAUAUAUAUAUAUAUAUAUAUAUAUAUAUAUAUAUGUAUGUAACCUGAGGUACCAC